UUAUGAUACUGCACUCCAGCCUGAGUGACAGAGUAAGACCCUGUAUGAACAAACAAACAAAUAUAUAAAUAAAUAAACAGCUGGAGUGGCUACACUAGUAUCAGAAAAAUUCAACUUCAAAACAGGAAAUUCACAGAGAUAAAGAGACAUGGUAUAAUGAUAAUAGGGCCAAUUCACUGAGAAGACAUAACAAUUCUAAAUGUGUAUAUACCUAAUAACAGUCUGAAAAUACAUGAAACAAAACCUGAUAGAAAAGCAAAUAUAUACCAAAGAAGAUAACUGGAUACCAAAUAAGCACAUGAAAACGUGCUCAACAUCAGUCAAUAGGAAAAUGCAAAUAUCAAAACCACAGUGAGGAAUUACACACCUAUUAGAAUGCUCCUCCAACCAAAAUAUGAGAGUGCCAAGUACUGGGAAGGAUAUGGAGCAACUGGAACUCUCAUACAUUGCUGGCAGGAAUGCAAAAUGGCACAGCCACUUUGGAAGAGAGUUUGGCAUUUCCUUAUAAAAUCAAAUAUAUACUUACUAUAUGACUCAACAGUCCCAUUCAUAGGUGUGUAUCCUAGAAAAAUGAAGGCUUGUGGUGACACAAAAAUCUUUACAUGAAUGUUCAUAGAAGCUUAUAAUAACUGAAAACUAUAAACAACCCAAAUAUCCUUUAGCUGGUAUAUUCAACAAAUUGUGAUACAUGCACAUGAUGGAAUACUACUCAACAAUAAAAAAGAACAGACUAUUGAUGAAUCUGAAAUCCAUUCACCUAAGCUAAAGAAGCCAGACUGAGCCAGGUGCAGUGGCUCACGCCUAUGAUCCCAGCACUUUGGGAGGCUGAGGCGGGUGGAUCACCUGAGGUCAGGAGUUCGAGACCAGCCUGACCAACAAGGUGAAACUCCAUCUCUGCUAAAAAUAUAAAAAUUAGCCAGGCGUGGUGGCAGGGGCCUAUAGUCCCAGCUACUCAGGAGGCUGAGACAGGAGAAUAGCUUGUAUCUGGGAGGCAGAGGUUGCAGGGAGUUGAGAUCGCGCCACUGCACUCCAGCCUAGGUGACAGAGCAAGACUCCUUCUCAAAAAAAAAAAAAAAAGCCAGACCCAAAAGGCAAUAUACUGUAUGAUGCCAUUUAGAUUUCAACAUCCUGGAAAAGGCAAAAAUCAUAGUGUCAAAGAACAGAUCAGAGGUUGCGUUGGGUAAAGAAUGGGAGAGGAAUUGACUUCAAAGGGACAGCAUGAGGUUUCGGGGGUGAUAGAACCAUCACCAGCAUUCCCAUUGUUAGCUAUGACCCUGAACCUCAGCUCCUGGCCCAUGUCAUGAUUAUGAUCAGGGUUAUAUGACUCUAUGCAUUUGUCAAAAACUCACUGAAUUGAAUACCAAAGGAAUUAACUCUUACUAUAUGGAAAUUUUAGAAUAAAUUUUGUUUUUUUUUUUUUUAAAAAAAAGCAGUGUGGUCAGAGUCUAUCAGGAUCUAAAGCAGUGGUUUUAAAGUCUGAAAUCACCUGGGAACCUCAGACAAAUUAAAUAAGAAUCUCUGAGGGGGCCAGGCACAGUGGCUCACACCUGUAAUCCCAGCACUUUGGGAGGCCGAAUCAGGUGGAGCCCAGGAGUUUGAAACCAGCCUGGGCAACAUGGCAAAACCCCAUCUCUACCAAAACUACAAAAAUUAGCCAGUUUCGUAACCCAGUCUCUAAUAAAUAAAUAGAAAUUUUAAAAAAGAAUCUCUGAGGGUAGGACUCAGGCAUCAGUAGUUUAAAAAAAAACACAGGCUAUUAAAAUACACAAUAAAUAUGGAGAAACACAGCCAAAGUGUGGGCUUGGCACCACAGCAUGGGCAUCACAUGAAAACAUGUUAGAGAUGCAGAUUCUUAGACCCCAGCCCAGCCCUGUUGUAUCUAAAACUCUGGGGAUGGGCCCCUGGGAUCUGUGUUUUAACAAGCCUUCUGGGUGGUUCUGACUCUUACUUAAGUUUGAGAUCUACACCUAUGUUGCCUUCAAUGUUAUGAAAAUCCACCACUUGGGUGACCCUGGCUACUGGCCUCUUCCUUCCCACUGGGGUCCUUGGUCUGCCAUCUAAUAGGCCAGCCCUGUCUCAGUACCCUAGUCUAAGCUUAAUCUUGGACAUGAGAAACUGAAGAGGCCAACGUAGUGGACACUCACCAGCAUUCCUGUUAUAGCUAUGACCUUGAACCUCAGCUCCUGGCCCAUGUCUUGUUCACUCUUUCUGAACCUCUAUUGGUAAUGUAAAUUCUCUCUAGGAUUAAAACCUUGCCUUGUUUUUCCAGCCCAAAGACUAGAAUUCCAUUUCUAAACCCAGCCCAGCAGCCGGAAGUCAUGAAGCAGUCAACCUGCCUGGACAUCCAGCUACGCUCUGCUGCGCCAUUCUAUCCACCCAUCAAGACUCCCCUCCCUUCUACUGUAUGUCACCAUAAGUUUUCGUGCCUGUUCUGCAUGCUCAAUUGAACUUCCCUCUAUCAGGUCACUCAAGCCAUUCUCCUGUUCCCACUCUAACCUGCUUUGGAAUCUAUGGCUGCCUAAUGACACUUACAAACAAGUACAUUCAAGGUCAAACAUCCUCAGGUCAAAUUCGUGGCAAGAGGGAUGAUCUUUUAAACCUACAUUUUUGGGCCGGGUGAGGUGGAUCACACCUGUAAUCCCAGCACUUUGGGAGACUGAGGGGGCAGAUCACCUGAGAUCAGGAGUUUGAGACCAGCCUGGCCCACAUGGCAAAAUCCCAUCUCUACUAAAAAUGUUUAAAAAAAAAAAAUAGCCAGGCUUGGUGGCACACACCUGUAGUCCCAACUACUCAAGAGGCUGAGACCGGAGAAUCGCUUGAACCUGGAAGGCAGAGGUUGCAGUGGACCGAGAUCGCACCACUGCACUCCAGCCUGGGCAACAGAGCAAGACUCCAUCUCAGGGAGGGAAAAAAAAACUUACAUUCCCUCCACCUCUCCCUCUCUUUGUUUUAAUGAAGCAUCAGUAACUUCAGCUGUUAUGAUAAAUUGAAAUAGCUGCAAAUCAGCAAAACUCAUGUUUGAUGGGUUAUCUUCUAUCAAAGAGUGAGAGAUGCCUUGCCCUGAUCAUUCCUAUUGCUAACAUAAAUUCCAUUGAGUUCUUAGGCCUAAGAGGAAAGAAAGUAAAGAGAAGAAGAAUGGACUGCACAAUGAAGCUAUCAGAUCAGCCCACGUUGGGAUGGGGUCAAUAGAUGCAAAAUGAACACCAUUCUUCAAAGUAAUCAUCUAACAGCAUGGAUAACCCUCCUAAAAGCCAACUGGGAUUGAAUUACUCCUCUGCCAAGAACCCUCUGCUGCACCUUAUCCAAGGCCCACCAUAAAAUGAUGCCAGCCCACCUCACCCAAAACCUCUUCCAGAAAGUCCCAGCUCCACCCUGGUUCUCUCCUCCACAGAUGUCAGACCUGUAUGUGGUCUGAUGGCUCUCUCAGCCUCCUUCAUUCUCUCCCCAUUUCUGCCACAUUUUCCCCAAUAAAUCUUGUGUGUGUCUAAUUCCAUUUUGGUGUCUGCAUCUCAGAUGAUCUGAACUAACACAAAUGGAGAGUGAAAAACAAAAAAAAAAGUCUGGCCACAUUUAUAAAUUCAUCCCAGGCUGCAAAGAGUUAGACAGCACUUCCCCAAAGAAAACUGUCACGUAAAACAUUCAAAGAUUCUCAGUUUAGCCAUCAUCUAGCCAGUUCUUCCCACUGAUCACAUUUUCCCAAUUUAUAGAUAGGAAUACUGAGCCUCAAGAGGUUAAGUAAAUCGCCUGAAGAUUAUACAGCUAGUAAAUGAUGAAAUCAGGGCUCUUGACUCAAAGUCCCAGUGUCAUCCAACUACACUUGAGUGGGCUUGAAACGAAUCCUAAGAGUUUUGUAAAUGGUAUAUCAUUAUCUAACAUAAGGUACUAUGAACCACUGCCAUCAUCAUCCUCAUUUCUCUCUGAGGAUCUUUGCAGUAAAGUGAAGGUAGUAGUAGAUCUGUCAUACUGAAUGUUGAAGUCAGAAUAAUGGCUCCCCAAAGAUGCCCAAACCCUAACCCCAAACCCUGUGAUUAUAUAACCUUACAUAGCAAAAUGGACUUUGCAGAUGUGAUUAAGUUUAGGAUUCUGAGAUAGAGAGAUGACCCUGGAUUAUUCCAGGGUCCCAGUGUAGUCACAAGUGUCCUUAUGAGAGGAAAGCAGGAGCACCAGAGUCAAAAGAGAUACAAGGCUAGAGGGUGAGAGGGAGCCCUGAAGAUGCCACUCUGCUGCUUUGAAGAUAGAAGGGGCUACAAGCCAAGGAACACAGGCAGCCUCUAAAAGCUGGAAAAGUUGCUGGGCGUGGUGGCUCAUGCCUGUAAUCCCAGCACUUUGGGAGGCCAAGGCGGGUGGAUCACG
rnacentral:lncRNA from 1 species